GGGUCUUUUCUGGCCUCUGCGGCUGCGCGGGCGGGUGCGGUUGCCGGGGACGCGCGGAAGCCGUCUUGGCCUGCAGGCCCAAAACGGUUUGAAAAGGCUCUUUUCCUAGUAGUGGGAUCACUCCUGUUUUAUGGUAUAAGUGGAGGGCGAGAGAGCUCUUUGAAGUCGGGGGGCGGGAGGCACCAUCUGGGCCAAGGACCAGCCUCUUUUGCGGGCCACGUGUUGCGCACAGUCUGGAGAGCGGCCCUAAAUUCGUGUCGCGUCCAGUAGCUCUGAGUGAAUGGCAGCUGCUUUCUUGUCCUGUAGGGCGGCUUUUGGCACUCGGGUACUUAUCCACUAAGGAAAGAAUUUUCAAGAAAACAGAAUCCAUGAAUGGAUUGCAGAACAAGGGUGUGGUGGCACUCGCCUAUAAUCCCAGGCCGAGGCAGGAGGAUCACAAGUUCUAGGCUAGCCUGGGCAACUUAGUGAGAUCCUGUCUCAAAAUAAAAUUUUAAAAAAGAACUGGAAAUGUAGUAUAGCACUUCUGGGUUCAAUCCCCAGUACCACACACACAAAAAUAACAACACUAGAUUGCAGAAAUAAUUUGUUCAUUCAUGACCAGUAGUUUAAAAAUCAGAAUAAAGAGAAUAAGAAGUAAGUGUAUGUCAAAUAGAGUAAGGAGUAUGUUAUUGUGAAAUUUCUGUUUCAGCUGUAAAUCUGUAUAUCUCUAUAUACAGUGUAUAUACACUGUUAUACACAUAAAUUCAUAUUUUCAUAUUUAUAUAUAUGUGUAUAUACUUGCACUUCUGUGUAUUAAUUCAGGAUAUAAAAAUAACCUGAUAAUCAUUCAGUGAGCCAAAAGAUUACCUCAGUUAUACUUUGGGCAGAUUUGAGCCUGCUGGCUUCAAGGAUGCUGCAAUGAAGUAGUUUGCUGACUGAAGAAAAGUGUAUACUUUAAAAAGUGAGAUACACAUGCUUGUGAUUGAAUGGAGGUAUGGUGUAAAUACUACAAUAAAGUAUUUCUAUGACUUC